AGAGUUUGAUCAUGGCUCAGAUUGAACGCUGGCGGCAGGCCUAACACAUGCAAGUCGAACGGUAACAGGAAGCAGCUUGCUGCUUUGCUGACGAGUGGCGGACGGGUGAGUAAUGUCUGGGAAACUGCCUGAUGGAGGGGGAUAACUACUGGAAACGGUAGCUAAUACCGCAUAACGUCGCAAGACCAAAGUGGGGGACCUUCGGGCCUCAUGCCAUCAGAUGUGCCCAGAUGGGAUUAGCUAGUUGGUGGGGUAACGGCUCACCAAGGCGACGAUCCCUAGCUGGUCUGAGAGGAUGACCAGCCACACUGGAACUGAGACACGGUCCAGACUCCUACGGGAGGCAGCAGUGGGGAAUAUUGCACAAUGGGCGCAAGCCUGAUGCAGCCAUGCCGCGUGUAUGAAGAAGGCCUUCGGGUUGUAAAGUACUUUCAGUGAGGAGGAAGGCAUGAUGCUUAAUACGCAUCGUGAUUGACGUUACUCACAGAAGAAGCACCGGCUAACUCCGUGCCAGCAGCCGCGGUAAUACGGAGGGUGCAAGCGUUAAUCGGAAUUACUGGGCGUAAAGCGCACGCAGGCGGUCUGUUAAGUCAGAUGUGAAAUCCCCGGGCUCAACCCGGGAACUGCAUUUGAAACUGGCAGGCUUGAGUCUCGUAGAGGGGGGUAGAAUUCCAGGUGUAGCGGUGAAAUGCGUAGAGAUCUGGAGGAAUACCGGUGGCGAAGGCGGCCCCCUGGACGAAGACUGACGCUCAGGUGCGAAAGCGUGGGGAGCAAACAGGAUUAGAUACCCUGGUAGUCCACGCCGUAAACGAUGUCGACUUGGAGGUUGUGCCCUUGAGGCGUGGCUUCCGGAGCUAACGCGUUAAGUCGACCGCCUGGGGAGUACGGCCGCAAGGUUAAAACUCAAAUGAAUUGACGGGGGCCCGCACAAGCGGUGGAGCAUGUGGUUUAAUUCGAUGCAACGCGAAGAACCUUACCUGGCCUUGACAUCCAGAGAACUUAGCAGAGAUGCUUUGGUGCCUUCGGGAACUCUGAGACAGGUGCUGCAUGGCUGUCGUCAGCUCGUGUUGUGAAAUGUUGGGUUAAGUCCCGCAACGAGCGCAACCCUUAUCCUUUGUUGCCAGCGGUUCGGCCGGGAACUCAAAGGAGACUGCCGGUGAUAAACCGGAGGAAGGUGGGGAUGACGUCAAGUCAUCAUGGCCCUUACGGCCAGGGCUACACACGUGCUACAAUGGCGCAUACAAAGAGAAGCGACCUCGCGAGAGCAAGCGGACCUCAUAAAGUGCGUCGUAGUCCGGAUUGGAGUCUGCAACUCGACUCCAUGAAGUCGGAAUCGCUAGUAAUCGUGGAUCAGAAUGCCACGGUGAAUACGUUCCCGGGCCUUGUACACACCGCCCGUCACACCAUGGGAGUGGGUUGCAAAAGAAGUAGGUAGCUUAACCUUCGGGAGGGCGCUUACCACUUUGUGAUUCAUGACUGGGGUGAAGUCGUAACAAGGUAACCGUAGGGGAACCUGCGGUUG
rnacentral:rRNA from 2 species